AUACGUAGGGUGCGAGCGUUGUCCGGAAUUACUGGGCGUAAAGAGCUCGUAGGUGGUUUGUCGCGUCGUCUGUGAAAUUCCGGGGCUUAACUCCGGGCGUGCAGGCGAUACGGGCAUAACUUGAGUACUGUAGGGGAGACUGGAAUUCCUGGUGUAGCGGUGAAAUGCGCAGAUAUCAGGGGGAACACCGGUGGCGAAGGCGGGUCUCUGGGCAGUAACUGACGCUGAGGAGCGAAAGCAUGGGUAGCGAACAGGAUUAGAUACCCUGGUAGUCCAUGCCGUAAACGGUGGGCGCUAGGUGUAGGGGUCUUCCACGACUUCUGUGCCGUAGCUAACGCAUUAAGCGCCCCGCCUGGGGAGUACGGCCGCAAGGCUAAAACUCAAAUGAAUUGACGGGG
rnacentral:rRNA from 1 species